GAAAUGCGAUAAGUAAUGUGAAUUGCAGAAUUCAGUGAAUCAUCGAAUCUUUGAACGCACAUUGCGCCCCUCGGUAUUCCGACGGGCACGCCUGCGUGAACGUCAUUUAAACACUCGAGCCCGGCUCGGUGAUGGGGUUGGCCUCAGCGGCCUCCGCCCGCAAGCGAACGUGGUCGGAGGGACGAAACCCGAGUAGUGGACACGCCUCGGAAUUUCGUUCUGUCCCCGAUUUUUCUUCAAACUUGACUUCACGUCAGACGAGGUUACCCGCUGAACUUAA
rnacentral:misc_RNA from 1 species